UACGGAGGGUGCAAGCGUUAAUCGGAAUUACUGGGCGUAAAGCGCACGCAGGUGGCUGAGUCAGUCGAUUGUGAAAGCCCUGGGCUUAACCUGGGAAUUGCAGUCGAUACUACUCAGCUAGAGUAUGGGAGAGGGCAGUGGAAUUCCCGGUGUAGCGGUGAAAUGCGUAGAGAUCCGGAGGAACACCAGUGGCGAAGGCGACACGCUGGGCCGUACCUGACGCUAAAGCGCGACAGCAUGGGGAGCAAACGGG
rnacentral:rRNA from 1 species